UACAGAGGGUGCGAGCGUUAAUCGGAAUUACUGGGCGUAAAGGGUGCGUAGGUGGUUUACCAAGUCAGACGUGAAAACCCUGGGCUCAACCUAGGAAUGGCGUUUGAAACUAGUAAGCUAGAGGACAGGAGAGGGAAGUGGAAUUUCCGGUGUAGCGGUGAAAUGCGUAGAUAUCGGAAGGAACACCAGUGGCGAAGGCGACUUCCUGGCCUGUAACUGACACUGAGGCACGAAAGCGUGGGGAGCAAACAGG
rnacentral:rRNA from 1 species